UUUACAACUGCCACCAACAACCGUUAGGUCAACCAAACCACACAUUAUACUCAGUGCAACAUGUUGCAAGUGUAGGCACAGGAAAAGGACAAUCGAGGUCACAUGAUGAAACUAACCGUGGAAGAUAAAUGGCGAAAAGGAGAUACAUUUUCUAGUGGAACUAUAAACUUAAAGGAUUAGUAAAAAAUGUCAAAAAGAACGCAACAGCAAAACGUCUUAAAUAUUUUGCAAAAUUUCUUGCAUGCAAUAAAAGCUUGUGCAUGAAACUAGUUGUGAUGCGUAAAAAAUGCGUAAUAAAAGAAAAAGAAAAUUAUAAUAAUGAGAGUCAACAAUACAGGAUAUA